rnacentral:misc_RNA from 1 species
UUUCCGUAGGUGAGCCUGCGGAAGGAUCAUUAUCGAAAAACAAAAUGGAUGUAUUGUGGUUUUUGUCAAAAAAACCUCCAUAUCCACCAUUUAUAAAACCCCCAUUAUGUGAAAAACAAUGAAUUAUUUGUGUUUAGUGCGAUGAUAUAUAUGGUGGUUGUUGGCAAUCUAUAGUGUCAUAAGAAAGCAUUUCCUAUUUCCUAAAAAUUGUCCACCUACCAUGUCAUUUUUCUACACACAAAUAAUCACAAAACUCCAAAAUUGAAUUUGAUUCUAAACCUUUAGGUCUUAAACAUUCAUGUUACUUUAUGAAGCCUAGUCUUUAUAAAGCAACAACUAAAAGAAAAAACAACUUUUAACAACGGAUCUCUAGGCUCUC